UGGUACAGCAGCAGAACGAGGAGCUGCAUCUUCAAGGUUAGCAGCAGCAGCAGCUACAUGGAUGCAAGGACGCCACCAUGGAUGAAAGAGCAGCUCAAUUUGAAGGAGAAGUCUCCCUAUGUUGCCAAGGCUGAGAUGCUCAAGGCCGAGUACACCAAGAAGAUCGAUGCUUACAACUACCCAUAGGGUGACUAGUGAUGCGGCACACCAAGCAACAGUGGGGGAAGGGGGUCUCUG